rnacentral:rRNA from 1 species
GUCGAGGGGUAUAGCACUUCGGUGCUAGAGACCGGCGCACGGGUGCGUAACGCGUAUGGAAUCUACCUUUUACAGGGGGAUAGCCCAGAGAAAUUUGGAUUAAUACCCCAUAGUAUAUAUGAAUGGCAUCAUUUAUAUAUUAAAGUCACAACGGUAAAAGAUGAGCAUGCGUCCCAUUAGCUAGAUGGUAAGGUAACGGCUUACCAUGGCUACGAUGGGUAGGGGUCCUGAGAGGGAGAUCCCCCACACUGGUACUGAGACACGGACCAGACUCCUACGGGAGGCAGCAGUGAGGAAUAUUGGACAAUGGGCGCAAGCCUGAUCCAGCCAUGCCGCGUGCAGGAUGACGGUCCUAUGGAUUGUAAACUGCUUUUAUACGAGAAGAAACACUGAUUCGUGAAUCAGCUUGACGGUAUCGUAAGAAUAAGGAUCGGCUAACUCCGUGCCAGCAGCCGCGGUAAUACGGAGGAUCCAAGCGUUAUCCGGAAUCAUUGGGUUUAAAGGGUCCGUAGGCGGUCUAGUAAGUCAGUGGUGAAAGCCCAUCGCUCAACGGUGGAACGGCCAUUGAUACUGCUGGACUUGAAUUAUUAGGAAGUAACUAGAAUAUGUAGUGUAGCGGUGAAAUGCUUAGAGAUUACAUGGAAUACCAAUUGCGAAGGCAGGUUACUACUAAUGGAUUGACGCUGAUGGACGAAAGCGUGGGUAGCGAACAGGAUUAGAUACCCUGGUAGUCCACGCCGUAAACGAUGGAUACUAGCUGUUGGGGGCAACUUCAGUGGCUAAGCGAAAGUGAUAAGUAUCCCACCUGGGGAGUACGAACGCAAGUUUGAAACUCAAAGGAAUUGACGGGGGCCCGCACAAGCGGUGGAGCAUGUGGUUUAAUU